rnacentral:rRNA from 1 species
UACGUAGGGUGCAAGCGUUGUCCGGAAUUAUUGGGCGAAAGGGCGCGUAGGCGGCUUGGUCAGUCCCGUGUGAAAUCCCUCGGCUCAACUGAGGAACUGCACGGGAAACUGCCUGGCUUGAGUUCGGGAGAGGGAAGCGGAAUUCCGGGUGUAGCGGUGAAAUGCGUAGAUAUCCGGAGGAACACCGGUGGCGAAGGCGGCAUCCUGGACCGGCACUGACGCUGAGGAGCGAAAGCCAGGGGAGCAAAGCGGG